GUUGCGUCACAGGUCAAUUUAAUCACGACUUAUGAGUGACAAUAUANNCGAUGUCGAAGGGAUUGUAACCCAACAAGUGGGGAGUUCGAUUUGGUUGGGACAAAUUGAACGAUCUGCGGUAGCAACGAUAAUGGCGUGGUGUGGAUGCAAGUUGAGCCAUGUCUGGAUGUUGUUGUUACUUUGUGAUGCUAGGGGUUUCUUGGUUGAACUUCUUCGUUAUUGCUGAUGACAUUCGUCUCGAGGUGAUGCGGUGUCAUGUAGCUCGUGUAUCCUGCUUUCUAGCUAUUGAGCUUAAAACAUGUGGAUUAUCGGUUAGCGACACAGCAUCGCUCCCUUGGUUGAUGAAAGUCGUCCAAUGAUGUGGUGGUUUGUUUAUUUUGUUCUCGCAUCGCUCGGUGCAUUCUGUGGUCAUUUUGGCUGUUGGCUGCUUGCUUGGCAAUUGAGCUUGGUGGGUGGCUACCGGUUGGGUGUCUUCGGGGAUGUCUACCGUAAAGGUGCAUGAGUGGUGUUUGGUUUGUUACGGGUGGUUGGCUCUUUGCUUGCGCAACAACUUCUACCCGGCAUACCUCUUCAGUCUUGUGUCGAUGCUUGUAUUGCAUUGAAUGCACGGCGGGUUUCUUGUGUUGCAUGCCUAAUUAAUGGUACCGUUUGAUGAAUUGGUUUUCCCUUCGUCUUGCGUUGCUUACGUAAUGUGAGAUGAACCUCAAAGCAGCCUUUGUGAUCCACUCUUUUGAUGCAUUCGCAUUGAUUUUGUGGCCCAUUGCGUGUUGCUCGGUCUCAUGGAUAUGGAACCUGGUGCGGGCAUGGAAUCUUAAUGGUUCCUUGCUUGCCCAUGUUUAGCUUUUCUAAACCGAGUGUCU
rnacentral:misc_RNA from 1 species